rnacentral:rRNA from 1 species
AUUGAACGCUGGCGGCAUGCCUUACACAUGCAAGUCGAACGGCAGCACGGGAGCAAUCCUGGUGGCGAGUGGCGAACGGGUGAGUAAUAUAUCGGAACGUGCCCAGUAGUGGGGGAUAGCCCGGCGAAAGCCGGAUUAAUACCGCAUACGACCUGUGGGUGAAAGCGGGGGAUCGCAAGACCUCGCGCUAUUGGAGCGGCCGAUAUCAGAUUAGCUUGUUGGUGGGGUAAAAGCCCACCAAGGCGACGAUCUGUAGCUGGUCUGAGAGGACGGACCAGCCACACUGGGACUGAGACACGGCCCAGACUCCUACGGGAGGCAGCAGUGGGGAAUUUUGGACAAUAGGCGCAAGCCUGAU